UUUCCGUCAAAUAUAUUAUUAUUCCAACAUAAAAUACAAGAGUUCAUACAUAAUACACCGGCGACAAAACGAGAUAGUCCCAGAACCGAAAACCCAUAAGAAGCGGCAACUUGAGUCCACAUCGGGACAACUAAAGCCCACACCGGGACAACUUACUGAAACAAAGCUUAAAAAUAAUCCAAAACUCAUAUAAACUACCACAUAAGAAUUUUAAACAACAAUUUCACAGACUUUCGAACCGAGUAAAGACCAAUGAUCGGGGAAAUAUCGUUGCUGCCCAUAGCACGCCAUACGAUAACCUCCACUUCUAACACCCACACCACACGACUAUCGC
rnacentral:lncRNA from 1 species